rnacentral:misc_RNA from 1 species
AGUUGAGUUAGAAAAGGCAUAACGCACAAUGGCACAAUAAAGUAUGUUUAGUGGUGGUUAGUGAUAAAAAAAUACAAACGGAAUAGUAAGUAUUCUGCUAAAGGAAUCUUAUUGCUAGCUUCCCCAGGAAAAGAGAAAUAUCAAGACAACAAAAGCUAAGGCCAUGUUUAAUAAAACAGACAAGCUAAAAGAUAAAAGAUUAGAGUUGAAAUGUCAUAAACAAAACACCAGUAAAUCACAAUGCACAGUCUCAACCAUAAAUAGAAGCUCCAGACUGAUAACCAU